UGGAUGCUUCCAUCUUAUAUUAGCAUCUUAUAUCUUCGUGAAAUUUGGAGCCCCUUUGCCUUUGAAAAUGUGAGGCGUUGAUACUUCCUGUGCAAAAGAAAAUCUCUUGUUAGGGAUUUUUCCAUUUAACAUGUGCUUGUUCUAGGGUAGCGGUACUCUCUCUGCUGUGGCUGCGUGUUCGACCGGCCAGCCAAGGAUCUCCAGCAAGCAUGUGCGCUUACUCUCCUUGCCCUUAAUUCCUGCCACAACAGCAGCUCCUGUGUAGUGUGAGCCAGAGAACUACUACACUAAUCAUGUUCCUGGCCUAGCAUGUGACAGUGGUGCCGCGAGGAUUUGCUGCCGUGGGAGGAGGGGCCCGACCCAGAUGGCGGCCACCAGUAGGUCACACACUUAUUCAGCUCGCCGUCUGGUUACUCUGAUGGCUUCUCUAAGGCGCUCGCAGAGGAGGCCAAGGGAUACAUGAUACUGGUAAUUUACUAAUGAUCCAUCUUAGUGGAAUGCUUUUGUUGUAGAUAUUUUCAUUGGUUGUCCUUUCAUUUUAUUUAUAUUCAUGGCUGGAUGGUGACUUCCACUAUGCUUCUUCACUGAAAAGGUGUUUCGCAUAUGCG